AAAGAAAAUAAUAAUAAUAAUAAUUGUUGGGGGCUCUGGUUAACGGGCCUCCAUCGUGGAUCGGAGGGUUAGGGUGAGAGAUCGAGGCUUUCUUGCGUACUCUCACCUCAUCUAACUCAGCGCAGAAGCUCUCGUGUCCUCUCAUCUCACAAUACUCUCUCUCACCAUCUCUUGCUCUUGAUGGCAUCCUAACUGCUCCACUUCCUCUGUUCUUCUCGCUUCCGCGCCUUAAAGACUAAGGAAGAAUACGAAGGAAUUAUAAUGGUUCCUCCUCCAUUGAGAGAAUUCGUCGAGGGUUUUAGCUGAAGGACUGAAGAAGAAAUACACCAUUUUUGGCAGAUUGUAAUUAGCAAAGGCGUGGGUCUCAAUUUUUUCUACCUGUUAACGGUUUCAGAUAAUGGCAUCCAGUCAUGCGAUAGCGCGUGAUCAAUUAAUGGCUAAGAUAUAAAAAGGUGUUAUUGAAUGCAAGUAUUAGGGCUGAAUUAAACAUUCCAUCAUAAUUCAAGGGCCAUAAUGUACUUUUUGGCCCAUGGAAAUGGUUCUCUAAUCUCUACUUUUGCAAAUUGCAAGCUUCCAUCUUGACUGAGGAGUGAGUCGUUUUUAAGUAACGCCCUAUCUUUUUCUUUCUUCUGAUUCUCUGGUCCCUGAUGCACAACCUCUCACUCCCUCCCUCUCUCUAUCUCCCUGCAUAACACACAAGCCUUCAAAACCCUAGCUAUACUGCAGGCAUCACUCCCUUCUCCCUUGUGAUUCUCAUUUUUUUUUCAAAAAAAAAAAAAAGAAUAUAAUCUUUUUUUCGUACUCUUUCAUAACAUAAAUAGUGUUAAAAGUCUUCUGGCGCGAAAACAAAAAAGUUUGUGACGCUGAAACAGGCCUCUGAUAGAAUAAGAUAGAAUAAAAUAAGAAAUACCCUUAAUAUCUCAUACUACUCUUUCGAUACAUAAUCUAAUGUUUAAUCUAAUGUUUAAAAAAAAUUCUUAUAUCUAUAUCGAAUUCGAAAUGCCAUGCUAUUAUUACUUAAUAUUUAUAUUUCAUAUGGCGAAGGCAUAGUUUUCUUUUUUCUUUCAAAUAAAAACCCAUUGGCGCCAAGCAUGAGGGAAUGCUAAACGUUU
rnacentral:misc_RNA from 1 species